rnacentral:pre_miRNA from 1 species
GGGGCCGGAUCGCACUGAGCUGGCUUUGGUCUUUGGUUAUCUAGCUGUAUGAGUGUAUGUGAUGUCAUAAAGCUAGAGAACCGAAUGUAAAAACCAGCUUCCGCCGUCACAGCCCCGGCCCC